ACAUCGGUAGCACAGUGGUUAGUGCAGGCUGCCGGAAACAGAGAGACGCGGGUUCAAUUCCCGUCCGAUGUC
rfam:Nippostrongylus brasiliensis genome assembly, scaffold: NBR_contig0005245